UUGUGGUGAGUAGGUCUUUUUGAACACAUUUAUCCACGCAUACGCAAGAGAGCAAAAGAGCCAUGGUCUCUCUACAAUAAAUUUUGCCCUAACUCUCGCUUUUGGCAGCUACGGUUAUGCCAUUAAGUAUCCUCCUGGGUGGAGUGCGCCAAGCUUUAAGAGUUUUCAAGAGAUGUUGAACACUGGAGAAAAAAUCUGGCUGACGAAGCGCACCUACGAUGUGGAGAGGAUUGAUUGCGUUUACUGGGAGAGAUUGCACUUAACAAGACCGAUUACGACUACUUUUACUGGCGCCGAAGGAACCCUAGAAGGCGUGACUGGACUAAACAAGCACCGGGAAUAAAGAAAGAACAUUGGCAUGCCAAGUUUUGCUACGUAGGUCGUUGGCCAACAAUGAGACUCAGACACUACCUAGAAAAGGUAC